GUACGGGAGGCAGCAGUGGGGAAUAUUGGACAAUGGGCGCAAGCCUGAUCCAGCAAUACCGCGUGUGUGAAGAAGGCCUGAGGGUUGUAAAGCACUUUUAAUCGGGAGGAAUAGCUGUCAGCGAAUACCUGGCAGUCUGACAUUACCGAUAGAAAAAGCACCGGCUAACUCCGUGCCAGCAGCCGCGGUAAUACGGAGGGUGCAAGCGUUAAUCGGAAUUACUGGGCGUAAAGCGUGCGUAGGCGGCUGUUUAAGUCAGAUGUGAAAGCCCCGGGCUUAACCUGGGAACGGCAUUUGAUACUGGGCAGCUAGAGUUGAGUAGAGGAGAGGGGAAUUUCAGGUGUAGCGGUGAAAUGCGUAGAGAUCUGAAGGAACACCAGUGGCGAAGGCGCCUCUCUGGACUCAAACUGACGCUGAGGUACGAAAGCGUGGGUAGCAAACAGGAUUAGAUACCCCGGUAGC
rnacentral:rRNA from 1 species